GCCAAGCUCCCAAAUGCCACCCGCUGUCUCUGAGAACCUAGCCCUCUCCAGAAGCUGCCGCCGUGCCCAAAACAGCCCCAAGGACAGCGCAGAAGCACCGCGGGGUCUGGGCACCCCCAGCCCAGACACCGAAGAGUUUGUGCUUUGCUGUCACCCCCCCCGGUUGCAGCAGCCACCGGGGGCGCCUUCGUUUCCCCUUCCCCACGGAAAAGAAAGCAAAGAAAACACAGCAGAGCAGGGACAGGGCUGAAUCCUCAGUGGGGGAUUCACCCGGGGCGCACGGAAGGGCUGGAGCGCAGGGAUUUACGACGCAGGACCCAAAUCCUUUUUAUUUCACGUGGCUCAGCAGCAGCUCGGCGAGCGAGGCCGCAGGACGUGCUAACCCAUCCGCUCGGCGCUGCGGGAACGCCUCGGCCGGGCUGCCACGUGCUGCCGUUUCUCUUACACCCGCAGAAACCCCUGGUGAAACCGAGGGAAACUCACGCUGCUCCGCGGUGCCUCGGCCGCCUCGCUGCCCCAGGAGGUUCGAAGCCGCAGCGCGUGGGAGGAAGAAGCAUCGUCACGCCGCAGAAGGGGCAGAAAUGCUCCUCCGGGCCCGAAGAGGGUUUUUUUGGAGGAAGGGGAAGAGGUAACAAAGGGUAUUGCCACGGCAGCCUCACACGUGCGGUGCCUUGCACCUGAGCAGCCUCGCCAGCGGCACGAGCUGCCUGCAAGUAGUCCAUCGGCUUAGACCCGAGGUGCUCCGGCACCGCCACGGCUUUUUGGGAGCGGUGCCGCCGAUUUGCAGGCUCGGCUAUGGGGGCAGCGGCCCCGGCGGGCUGGGGAGGGCUCUGGUAGGGGAGGUUGGGAGAGCAGCGAUGCCAGAACAAGCGCUGCAACGCAGAGAGGGGCUGGGUGUCCACCACCACAUCAGCUCCCACCACCUCUGCUGCCCACUGACGAAAUUCCACCCGGCGGUACCCGUGACACCGAGCCAAAUGUUCCAGCUGAGCUUGUAGCACCUGGAAGUCAGCGCCUGAAAUCUCGGAUUUUCUGCCGGUACCGACUCCUCCCCGGGCUGAUUUCGUCCUGCCAUGCCCUGCAGGCCCUGCUCGCCCCCUUGCUCAGUGCCGUAGGUACCAGGGGGUCGUGGGCUGUGAAGAAAGGGGCGCAAAGCAAGGCACCGUCCUCACAGAUCCGGUGAGAAAUUCCUGGUGGAGUUAGGUUGCCGUCAGUGGAUCCCGUAAGCAAAGCGUGGCAACUUCUUGCUUUCCCAGACGUUCAGGUGCUGCAGCACCGGUGAGGUGGCACUCGGUGGCCAGAUCCGAGCUGAACAGCCCCAUACGUGAUUUCCUCACGGGGCACGAACGGAAAAGUCCGUAUCAACUCUCUCCCUUCCCAACAGAGCCCGUUCUUCCUUCUCUCCCCCACAAAAGCCGCAUUUUCCUGUGCCCCGGUGCCUUUGUACCCUCUGAACAAGCAGCCAACGCUUCCCCCAGGUCCCGCCCUGC